CUGCAGAGGAGGCGGCCCUGAGAGUCCCACGCCGAAGCUAAGCGUUCCAGACCAACGCGCCUUUGCCGGCUUCGAGGUUUCCUGCAGGAAUAGUACUCUGUAGGGAAGAAAGAGGCCAACAGCUCUGUUCAGUGAGAAGACUCAGUGGGCGCUGGUGUGCUUUGAGGCAUCAGAAGAGACUUGACUCACCAAAGAAUUUUUCUCAUAAAACCUGACACCCUGCUGCUGAUGAGAACUUGGAUCCGGAAAUGAGUGGAAUGGAGAGCAGAGGCAAGGGAAAUGUGGAGAGCAUAGGGAGUAAGUGUGGACACCAGACCACGUGGCAAGAGCACCAGGAAGAACUAGGAAAAGCAUGGCCAAAGAUUUCAUCCUAGGGAGCAAAUUUCUAGGGAACAAAUGGUUUCAGGCUUGCGAAGCCUCCGUUCCUGACUUUCUACUCUCAGUUUGAAGAACUUCAGUGGGUUCAGGGUGCUAGGACUGGGCCCCUGUUAUCUGGGACCUGAGCCUGCAGUGAUUCCUGACAGUUGGGAGGCUGAGGAAAAGAUUUGGAUGAGGGUUGAUUGGGGUUGGAGAAGAUGGCUGAGGUGCCUCUCAACGCAGAAGACAUGGCUGUGAGGUUCACAGAUGGAUGCCAAACUGAAUCAAUGUUUCCAAGUUGUGGGAAGAAAAAAAAAAGGGAAAAUGCACCUAUCAGUGCAAGAAUGCUGACUGCUCUUUCUUAGGGCUUUACUUUCAGCUGAGAGGCCUGUAAACCCCACUCUGGUAGCUGCUGAGAGCUCUUUAAAAGUUCUGCUUUUCAAACCAGAGGACCAGACAGCCACCCAGGAGGAGUGCGGAAUCUCUUUGAAGUGUCAGUUUUACUGGAAGACUUUAGGGAAAAACAUUUUUGUAUUAAAAUAUAGAUAUUUAUGGUAAAAUAGUGUAUAUAUACACAUGUAGUAUUGCUUUAUAUAUACUAUAUAUAUAUGUUUAUAUAUAUGUAAUAGGAGAAAGGUAUGUGCCUGAUUUCUAAGAGACAGUACAAAAUUUGAAAGAAAGAGUUUGACCAGAAUCUUCUGGGCUAAGAGAGCCUGUGGACUCCAAGUAUUCACACUUGUUCUGAUGAGUUGCUUUAAGAAUUUGAAACACUGCUGGUUUUCGGUGCUACCCUCUGUUGGGACUGUCAUUUUCUCUUGGUUUCUUUUGGAGACAAAGGCUUUACAACCAGAAGCCAUAAUGCAUUAUGGUGGUAUUUCAGGCAGCAUGAAAUGGAGUAGAGGGAGAGUUAGUUCCCAGAAGAGGCCUAGCAUUUAUCAAGUCCAUUCCUUCAAAUUCUCUCAGCCCCUGCUAGCUAGUCUCUGAGCAAUUACAGGAAAUGUCCAUUUCAUUCUGUUUGGAUAGUUUCUAAAUUAAACUGCUUAAGCUCAGUGUCUCUAACUGGAAAG